rnacentral:rRNA from 1 species
GACGAACGCUGGCGGCGUGCUUAACACAUGCAAGUCGAACGGUGAAGCGCCUUCCUUUUUGGUGGGUGUGGAUGAGUGGCGAACGGGUGAGUAACACGUGAGUAACCUGCCCCCUUCUUCUGGAUAACCGCAUGAAAGUGUGGCUAAUACGGGAUAUUCUGGGUCUGUCGCAUGAUGGGUCUGGGAAAGAUAUUGUUUCGGUGGGGGAUGGGCUCGCGGCCUAUCAGCUUGUUGGUGGGGUGAUGGCCUACCAAGGCGGUGAGGGGUAGCCGGCCUGAGAGGGUGGACGGUCACACUGGGACUGAGACACGGCCCAGACUCCUACGGGAGGCAGCAGUGGGGAAUAUUGCACAGUGGGCGCAAGCCUGAUGCAGCGACGCCGCGUGAGGGAUGGAGGCCUUCGGGUUGUGAACCUCUUUCGCCAGUGAAGCAGGCCUGCCUCGUUUGUGGGUGGGUUGACGGUAGCUGGAGAAGAAGCGCCGGCUAACUACGUG